UAGCAAGAGUAACCGGUAGACGGAUUCGUCCUUAUCAAUUAAAAUGAACAUUCUAGAUCAUGAAGUUCACCACCGAGGUGAACGCGUACGAGUACGAGCUAAAAAUGAUACAAUUCGCUAUGAGAGAAUGGCCUUUACUGGAGAACUGCAUGAGAACAUUCUGCGUUUCUUAGCCUCCGCCCCCUCCUCCACCACCACCGCCGCCGCCGCCAUUGCUUCCACCACCACCACCACCUCCGCCACCACCACCUCCGCCACCUGCAAGCCCGCGACCACGCCCGCGCCAGUUGCCACGUCCAUGACCAAACUUGAAUCCAUCACCUAAUCAUGCCUGAGUCUUCUUAGCAUUUUCCGAGGUCAUCUGCAGAUUCGAACUAGUGGCUUCAAUCAAGAUCUUAAUAGCAGUUUGACAUUUGCAAGCUGCUUAUCCACAAAAUAUUCAAUUGUUCAAACUCAGGAAGAUGAGACGUUCCGAGAGAACUUCUAACAGUAGUGUAUUCUACCGUGCUAACAUUCACUUCAGUUAUUAAACCGUACACGUUCACAGCUCAUUCUAUGCAACAGAAAGUAUGUCGAAAGACAUGGCAAUGGCUGCAGUUGAAGAGUAGAUCUCACCAAACAUUUGUUGACAUCAACGUUUCUCGCAAGUAUAGGCUGCGCAAAGCAAUGACAAACGAGCAAAACCGCAAUAAGGAGCACGAAGAGGGCUCGUAGGCAUCUGAAGUAAGCCAUUGUUAUAGAAGAUUGCAAUUAAAGAUCAUCCGAAAGCUCUAUAUAUACAGCCAAAUAGCUGGUUCCUGACAAUGGACUCCGCAGAAUAGUGUGACAGCAACAUUGAACAAUCAACUGAAAUCGCUCUCAUACCAGGCUUAGUACUUUCACCUCGCACUACAUCUAUUUACAACCUUGUCAAGAAAGACAUAAAAGCGGGCUCAGUUGAACAUUCACCGUUACUCGUCAGCUGCCAAUCGACGUAGAGGAAAUCCUCAUAUCACCAAGUGCACUCCCUGCAUACGUAGCGAAUCUCCCCCACCUUGGUAAGAAAAAUCUAACAAACCAUACUCACAGUCUGAGCAUAUCGGAUCGCACAUAGUGUGUAAUAAUUACAACUUUUGUGGAACAUAGUGUGUAAUAAUUACAACUUUUGUGGAACAUAGUGUGUAAUAAUUACAACUUUUGUGGAACAUAGUGUGUAAUAAUUACAACUUCCUUGAAAUGUGGCCUCUGUAAUCUUGUGAUUAACAUCAUACAUAUAUAACCUCGAUAAUCUUGACAUCUUCAUCACAAAAUGUGACAAGACAUUAGCGACCUGACAAUGGAAUCUGAAAGACAGAGUGCCAGACACUCAAUAAUCUUCAAUGUGUGACAGCCAUGCGCCGAAACAGUCUUCAAGAGCCACUUCAAAACUCAUUUCAUUUAGUAAUACUUCUUAAACGUCUAAAUCUCUGUUCCCAACUCAGACCAUGAUCGGAUUGACGAAAGCGAGUGAUGUGAUGCGUACCAGAGCGCAUGCAGAGCAGCGACAUAAACGCGAAUAGCGAGAGACAUCCAACGAGUGCACAAUGUACGCACACCACAAGGUGCAGGGGCAGAAGCAGAAGCACAGGGACUGAAAAGUGAUCGAUCACCGGGUGCGACGAAGAGGCCAAGGCGAUGGGAAGCUGGACGAUGAGCAGCAUCUAGUCAGCGAUGGGGACCAUCGACCCAUUCCGACGAGAUUCCGAUGUCAUUCGCGUGUCGCGAGAUUCCAGAGAGUAGUGUUUUGGAUCUAUAUUUUUAAAAUUUUCGGAGAUCUCCAUCAGGGGAUCCGUGGCGCAAUGGUAGCGCGUCUGACUCCAGAUCAGAAGGUUGCGUGUUCGAUUCACGUCGGGUUCAACUGCCCGGGAAUGCACCGGAUUCUCACCUAUCCAAAAAUUCCCUGAUCCUUUUUCUCUUUGUCUUAUUUCCUCCACCACCUGCAUGCAUCCAUCACCAUGUCAUCCUCAUUUUCGUUACCACCACCAGCGGAGUUAAUUCCAUCAAACACCUCUCCCCCAACACUUUCUCUCUUACUUUCUCUCUUCCCUUCCACCUCCGUGUAUGCGCCUUCGUGUAUGUGCUUAAAACAUAAGAAAGAGUAGUUAGUUCAAAGAUUAAUAAAUAGAAACUAAUUUAAACCUUAAAAAAUAUAAACUAAUUCAAAGCUUAUCAACCAAUAGAUGUUUCACACUUUAACAAGUAAAAAGUGGCCCAAAACUUAACAUGCACUAUAUAGUUCAAAGCCUAACAAAUAAUAAGUAAAAAGUGGCCCAAAACUUAACAUGCACUAUAUAGUUCAAAGCCUAACAAAUAAUAAGUAAAAAGUGGCCCAAAACUUAACAUGCACUAUAUAGUUCAAAGCCUAACAAAUAAUAAGUAAAAAGUGGCCCAAAACUUAACAUGCACUAUAUAGUUCAAAGCCUAACAAAUAAUAAGUAAAAAGUGGCCCAAAACUUAACAUGCACUAUAUAGUUCAAAGCCUAACAAAUAAUAAGUAAAAAGUGGCCCAAAACUUAACAUGCACUAUAUAGUUCAAAGCCUAACAAAUAAUAAGUAAAAAGUGGCCCAAAACUUAACAUGCACUAUAUAGUUCAAAGCCUAACAAAUAAUAAGUAAAAAGUCGCCCAAAACUUAACAUGCACUAUAUAGUUCAAAGCCUAACAAAUAAUAAGUAAAAAGUGGCCCAAAACUUAACAUGCACUAUAUAGUUCAAAGCCUAACAAAUAAUAAGUAAAAAGUCGCCCAAAACUUAACAUGCACUAUAUAGUUCAAAGCCUAACAAAUAAUAAGUAAAAAGUGGCCCAAAACUUAACAUGCACUAUAUAGUUCAAAGCCUAACAAAUAAAAGAUGGCUCAAUUCCUAACAAAAAUAGGCAAGUCAAAGCCUCACAAAUAAAACCUUGUUUGAAAGCUAAAUAAUGCAUUAGUUGUUUAAAGUUUAACAUAGAAUAAUUGGCUUAAAACUUAACAAUGAGUAGGUGGUUCAAAGUUUUACAAAGAAUAAGUGGGUGCAAGUAUAUUACUAAAUAUUAUGAUGAUUUUUUUUAAUAAAUUUAUAUGAAAGUAUGUAUAAUAUAUUUAAAAUUAUUUUCUUUUGAUUUUAUUGGUAAUUAAUAAUUUUAAAAGUAUAAUAAAUAUAGGUAAAUUUUAAAGAUUAUUUUUUAAAAUUUUAAAAUUUUAGAACUUCUUUUUUUAUAAGAUAUCUUCUAUUAAUAUUAACAUUUUUAUGUAUUUAUUUUGUUAUACUUAGAAUGUUAAUUGCAUUUGAUCAGCUAUAUUAUUGUAUUUAUAAAUAUACACUAAUAUUCUUAUAAAUGUUUUAAACUUUGGCUUUAAAAAAAGCUAUUUUUUUAUAAUUGUGCAUCAAAAUCUUUGUUGCAAUUUGGUUAUCCAUUAAUAAUUAGAAUAUUGGCAUUAUGAUUUUUCAACCUCUAUUUCUAUCAUAAAAAAUAUCAAUAAAUAAAGAAAUAUAUAUAUAUAUAUAUAUAUAUAUAUAUAUAUAUAUAUAUAUAAAAUUAUACAACCAGUUUUUUUUAUAAUUUUUAUUUGUUGCAAAGACUAUAAUAUUUUUUGAUUAAGUAAUGAUAAUUUUUUAUUUAAUUUUUUUUAAAGCUUUGAAAUUCUCAAAAUAUAUUAAAAUAUAUUCUGUUUAGUUUUUAAUAAAAAUACAUAUAUUAGAUGUGUUAAAAAAAGCUUCUACUCUUAUUUUGACUAAUUGAAUAUAUAAUAAUUAUGUUUUUUAAAUAAAAUAUGUAGUAAAAUUAAACCUUAAUAUAAUAGAAUUACUAAAAAUAUAUCUUAAAUUUUAAAAAUACUAUUACCUUAUGUUUAGUUUUAAAAUAAUAUCAUAAAUAUCCUUGAAGUUUGCUGACAUAUCAAGAAUAUUCUUUUAUUUUUAAUAAUAUCAAAUCUACUCUUUAUUUUUGUAAUAAUUGAAAAUUUUCUCUUCAAUGUGAUAAGCCAUAUUCUUUAUGUUUAUUUCAGUUGCAAUUAAGGCCCAAAGUGCAUACUGCACAAACUUGAGCUCUGUCUUUUUUUGCAUUUUGGACACCUCACAAAACUCACAUCUACCUUUGGACGUUUUUGAAGACAUUGCAUCUUAAAGAUGAGUGGUACUAUUUUCAAGACUAUCAAUGGCUUGAAGUAAAGAGUAUCAACAAUCAAUUUCCUUAUUUUGAUAGGAUUUCUAUAAUAGUAGAGAGGUGCAUUUUUUCUUCACUUGACAAUUAUUUAUUUGUAUUCCAUCUGAUAGGCAUCUGCUUGUAUGUGAAUUAAUUGAAAAAAGAUUGAAACAUUUUUUUAAGCAACCUUUUAUAAUUCUCAAGGAAUGCAUUCAAAAUACCUAGAAUUACCAAUUAUAUCUUAUUAAUAAAAAGAUGAUGGAUUCUUAAGAUAUCUAAUUGAUUGAAAUUGAUUUUUUUUUUCAUCAAUGUAAGUAUUGCAAUGAUGCAAUUUACUUGAGGUACUCUUCAUGUUUAUGCAUGCAAUCACAAUCAUUCAAAUUUAAAUCACUUUAAUAUUUUUUUUAUUAUCACUUUUAAAAAUAAACCUAAUUAUUUCCUCUCUUUUCAAAAGCAUUAUAAAUUAGCAACUACUAGAUUUGGCUUUUACACUAAAAAAAAAACUAGAAGACUAUUAUGAUCACAAAUGGAAUGAUCAAGUGUCUUUGUCAAAUUCUUCUAUUUUUCAUUAUUCAAAAAUAAAAAAAAAAUCAAUCUAAAAAAACCUCCAAGUCAUGAUGUUACUAAGCAAAUAUGGAAGUUGUAAAGAAAAUUAAUAUAAGAAUUUUAGUUGAUCUAGAAGGAGACACAACAUGUGCAAUAUGAAUGAUAUGAAUAUGAUUCUAUUUGACUUGAUUAUUUCUUAGAAAGCUAUUGCCAUGUUUCAUGUUGAUGUGAUAUAUAUGAUUCUUGAAGAUGGCAAAGACUGUUUCAAAAUAAACGAUAUCAACUAAGUUUUGGAAGGAUACAUGAACUUAUAAUCAAUUUUUUAUUUGGUAAUGGUAGACAACUUGUUUUGAGUUGUCUAUGUGGAUAGCUACAAAUGUCCUUUGGAAUAUCCGUUAGUGGCACUUCUUUCAAUGCAUACUUAGAAUUAAGAUUUGUAUUGGCUAACUCUAAAAUAUUAUAUAGCAGUACCAAAUUUUUGGUACCACUCAUCAUGUCAAUAUAUAUUUUAGCUAGUCAACUUGCUUAAUAACAAUUUCAUAAAAAUACAAGUUAUUGAUAAAAAAUUAAAGAUUCUUUGUAUGUUACAAAAGCCAAGAUGUGAUAGAAAAUUGUGAGUUGUAUUUUCAUUAAUUAGCAUCUUAUAUAACAAGUGUCUAUUGUAUUAAUAUUUAUCUUACUUGCGAUUUGAUUUAAAUAUGUACAAUAUGAAAAAUUAAAAAUAUUAUUUUGAAUGACUCAAUAAUUUAGCCUAAAUUAUUAAUGAUAAACCUUUUUACAAAUUUCAUAUGGCAUCUUUUUGAAGUAAUCAAUCAUAAAAGAAACAAUUCAAAAUUCAAUGCUUUUCUAUAUGAGACGCAAAAAAGUAUUUAAUGAGACAUUAAUGGAGAUUAUCUUAUUUGCUAAAAAGCAAUAGCUAGUAAUGACAACAAAUCUUAAGGAAUAGAGGAACAGAGAAUUGUUUGACAAGCACAAAAAUAUAGGUGGUAACAAUGGCAUUUGUGAGGUACUAAAGAUGUAAAAAAAAUUAGGGCCUAAAUCUAUGUGGCACAUGCAUUGAGCACUAGUUGCAACUAAAAAAACCAAAAGAAUAUAGCUUAUUAUAUUGAAGGAAAAAUUUACAAUUAUUACAAGAAAAAAGAAUAGAUUUGAUAUUAUCAAGAAUAUAAGAAUAUUCUUGAUAUUUUUGCAAAUCUAAAGAAUAUUUAUGAUAUUUUUCUUUUCAUUUGUGAUAUAUGAAGUAAUAAGUCAAAUCUAUAUAAUUAGAGUAUAUAUUCUUAUUCUAUAAUAUAUUAAAUUUUAAAAAAUAUAUUUUUUAUAACAAUAUUGAAUAAAGAAAAUGACUUAAAUUAGAGCAUAUUAAUUGUAUUUAUAAUACUAUAAAAUCCUACAAAUAUAAUAGUAUAUACAAAAUAUUAUCAAAAUAUCAUUUAAAUAAAAAUAUGUUUUUAUAAAUUUAGUAGUAUAUAUAGAAAUGUGAUCUAAAAAACCUAUUACUUUUAGAGCAAGCUAACUAUGUGAUGUACACAUUAAAAGUUAUCUUGCAAAUUAAGAUAUUUAACUUGCAAAAUCAACACAUGUUAGCGGUCUUAUAUAAUAUCACUAUGUAGCUCCUUUGUGGAUAGUAUUUUGAAGUAAGAAUGAAGCUUUCUUUACUCUUUUCAAUUCCUUGCUCUAGUUUUGAUUCAAGAGUCUUUAAUUUUUUUAUCUUUUGGAAAUAGCUAUUCUAGUUUUUUUUUUUUUAAUAUACAUGUUUUUUUACUUCUAUUUUGUCAUAUUUCUUUGAAAAAAAAUUUACGUAGUUAUUUUUUUUCAUUGGGUUCUUAUUCUUAACAAUAUACUAUUCUCGUCACUUGAUAAUCAUUCAUUUAUAAUCUAUUUGAUAGAUAUCUGCUUGUAUUUGAAUUAAUUGAAAAAAGAUUGUAACUUUUUGUUAAGCAAUCUUUGAUAGUUUACAAGGAUUCCAUUCAAAAAGCCUAAAAAUCACCAAUUAUAUCUUAUUCAUAAAAGAUAAUGGAUUUCAAAAAUAGCUUACUAAUUGGAUGCAAUUUUUUUGUCAUCAAUGUAAGUAUUAUAAUGAUGCAAGUUCUUUGAGUUACUCUUCAUGUUCAUUCCUUCAAUCAUAAUCAUUCAAAUUUAAAUCACUUUAAUAUUCUUCUACUAGUAUCUUUAAAAAUAAACCUAAUUAUUAUUAUUUUUUUCAAAAGUAUUAUAAAUAAAUAUGAUUCUAUUAGAUAUAAACAUCAUCCUACUCGAUAUAAACAUGAUCUACUAGAUAUAGACUUGAUUACUUCAUUGGAAGCUAUUGCCAUAUUUUACAUUACUGUGGUAUACAUAAUUCUUGAAAAAGGCAUAGAAUUUGAUUAAGAAUAUACCAUAUCCUUCAAGGAAUGGAUGGUUUGUUAAUCAAAUAUUGCUUCUCUCAUCUUUGAAGGAAGAUAUGAUUUACUUGAUAAAGCAAUUGAUAGUCCUUAUUGCUUUAUUAGUUUAUAUGUAAUUACAAAAUAAAAAGAAGAUAAUAAUAUAUUUCAACAAGCUUAAUGGCAAUUCAAAACCUCAGUUGUCAUGAAAUAGUCUAAUUUUUUGUGAUCUGUAUAUAUAGUUAUAAGUUUUCUAGUGCCUUUCAACAAGUGACACUAUUCUUGGAAAAAAUCUACAAUCACAAAAAUUUCUUUAUUAUAAAUCUUAUAAGUGAUCUUUAUAACUGAAAACUUUUUAGAAUAGAAUGCAAUUGAAUGGAGCUUUCCAUCCUUUCAUAUUUAUAAUAGUAUAGCUUCUAAUCCAAAGGCACAAGCAUCUAUCUCUAAAUAGAAGGCCUUUGUGAAACAUGGAUGUAUUAAAAUUAGAGCUAUAGUAAAAGCCUCCUUUGAAUCUUGAAAAAUCAUUUAUUUUUGAAGUUUUCAUUCCAAUUUGUCUUUUGAUGUCAAUUAAGUAAAAUGAGCAACAACUUUGGAAUAAUUCUUGAUAAAUAUUUAAUAAAAAUUAAUAAAUCUAAGAAAAUAUUACAUAUUCUAUAUUUUCUUUAAAUUUUAUAACUUUGUUAUAACUUGAACUUUCUUUGAGUCCAUCAACAUACCUUCAUUUGAUAAAAUACAUCCAAAAAAUUCUACUUUUAGCUGAUGGAAUAUAUAUUUUUCUAAUUUAGCAUGUAAUUUUAUAUCUUACAACUUAAAUAAGAUUAAUCUCAUAUAUUCUUUAUAUUCUUAAAUAAUCUUGGAUUAAAUUAUGAUAUCAUCAAAAUAGUAGAUAAUAAAUUUAUUGAAGAAUUCUUAAAAAAUAUCAUUUAUUAAAUACUAAAAUAUAGCUAGAGCAUUUUUUAAUCCAAAAGACAUGAAAUUAUAUUCAAAAUGUUUAUAUCUUGUUCACAAUACUAUCUUCUAUUCAUCUCUUUCUUUAAUCCAUACUAAAUGUAUAUUUCACAAAGAUCUAUUUUAGUGUAGAUCUUAGCUUGAUUAAGUUUCUUCAAAAGUUCUAAUAUUAAUAGAAAUGAGUAAUAAUUCUUCAUAAUUAUUUUUCUGAGGUUGCAAUAAUCAACACACAUUUGCAAAGAUUCAUUUUUUCUCUUCACAAAAAUAUUUGUACAUCUAUUGGAGAUUAAAAAUAUCACAUAAAAUUCUUUACAAGAUUUUUGUUGAUAUAAUCCUUCAAUGUCAAAAGCUUAUUUUGUGAUAGGUUGUAAAUUGGGCCAAGUAGUGGUUUAGUUCCUUCUUAAAGAUCAACAACACAAUCAUACUAUUGAUGCUUUAGUAAUAUGUCAACAUUCUUUUUUUAAAAGACAUUUUAAAAAUAUUCAUAUUAUUCUAAGAUAGCUACUAGCAAGCUUGCUUUUUCACAAGUUGGAGUUGCAUAAAUAACAAAUGGUACUUUUUUUUAAUAAUCUUCAUAAAUAUCUUUAUUUCUUAAAAUAAGGACGUUGUUGUUGAUAACUUCUUCAUAGGUUUUAUUCAAAGAAAUUCUAUAAGAAAUUCAAUCUUAUGAAAUCUCCAAUCUAUAGAUGGAUUAUAUCUUUUUAACCACAAAAGUUCUAAAAUGAUAGGAUUAGAUGAGAAUCUAAUAAUAUUGAAUAUUAUUUUGCUACUAUGGCUCUCAAAUGAUAUUUCUAAUAAUAUGAUCUUAUAAGUAACAUUACCUAAAGAUAAAAAUUGACCAUCUAUUACCUCUACAUGUAUAAAUUUUGACUUUUGUACUAGAGAAAUUUUAUGAAGUUUAAAAUAUUCUUCAUCUAAAAAGCAAGCAAAUGCUCUUGAAUCUAUUAAGGCAUUUUUUUAAAGUUUUUGUGGGUCAAGAAAUAAAGAUAUAAUAAAGUAAUGAGUAGGUUAGGCAAAGAAAGAAAAACCUUGAUGAAUUUGAAGAAUUGAAAUGUCUAGCCACACGAUCCCUAUUGUAGCUGAGUCUCUUUAUUUUUUUUGAAUGAUUGCUCUCUUAUCCUUGGUUAUAAGUUGUUUCUUUACAAAAUUCUUAAAUUUUUCGCCCUCUUCAUUAUAAUACAAAUAUAAACCUUGUUCAAAUUAAUAGACUUCGCUAUAAAAGAUUUAAAUCAUAUUGCAUCAUUUUGCAUAUCUUUAUUUUCAGAGUAUAGAAAUAAUAUAUUUUUAAAGAAAGACAAUACAAAUUUCUAGUACAUUGCUUUAUCCCAGUCUAUAAGUAUUGAUCUUGAUAACAUUGAAAUAAUUAAUUAUCAUACAUUACAGCUUGAUUCAUAGCUUCAUUAAGUCUUUGAGGAUGAAUUUGUAAUAAUUAUAAUAGGUCUUUUACAUCAUUUCUUAAUUUUCAAUAGAAUUGGCUUAUAAGAGCUUGUUUAUUUUAAUAAGUGAUAUAAGCCAAUUUUCUAAAAUCACAUGCAUAAAUUGAUGCAAAGCAUGACCUUGUUACUCAUUGGACCUUGUUAUGUUUUCCAAAUGUCUUUGUAAGUGCUUCCAAGAAAGCUUCAAAGUUACUUAAGAUUAGAGAUAUUUUCUCUAAUAAAGAAACAAACCAAGAUAAGGAUUGUCUUAUGAGUAAGGUUCCAACUAAACUAACUUUUGACUCUUCUAUUAGAUAGUGCUUAGGUUGUAGAAAAGUUACAAAUUGAAUUUGAUUAAUAAACCCUUAAAAAUUGGAGUGUGCACCAUCAAACUUUUUGAAAGACUAAUCCAAGGUUUUUUAUGUUGUUGAGUAGGUGAAUUUUUUUAUUAAGGUAGAGGUACCAUCACUUCUUUAGAUGUAGAAGCUUGAAAAAGUAUUUAUAUCAUAGGUUGAACUAUUAUAGGUCUUACAUCAUUAUAAAAUCUUGUAAAAAUCCUUCAAUUUCAGUAGUUCUACAAGAUAAAGCCUUUAGUAUAUUCAUAUUAAUAUCUAACUUAGACUCAAAAGAUUCAACUAUACUAACAUCUUUACUUUCAGCCAUUCCAAAAAUUAAAAAUUAAAAUUCUAAGUAAUAUUAGUUUAAAAGAAGAUGCUUUGUAACCUCUAAAAUACUUAGAUGCAUUCAAAAAGAGGGAUAAUUUACUCUCAAUAAAAAAAUAUCAAGCUUCAAUAUUGAUAAAAGGGCAAUGUUGGAAUAGAGAGAAUUUGCCUUAAAAAAUAGUAGGCUUCUAACUAUCACUAAUUUCUCAAUCAAAUCUUAAGAUAAAAUAAACACCAAGUUUAUAUAUAAAAUUAUCCUUAUAGAGACAAUUACAUUAAUUUAUAAGUCUUAAGUACCAAAGAUCAUUCAAAAUGUGAUAAAAAUAUUAUAAAAUCUUAUAUAUCCUUAAUAUAAAAGGAAAGAAUAGGAUAUUUAGAUUAUUUGUGUAUAGAAAUAUGUAGGUGGAGUCAUUUUUGGAAAUUUUUUAGAAUUGAAGUUAAGAUGGUAGUUUAUGUGGGAUCUACUAUGGUACCUUCUAAAAAGACUUAAAGUGGUUAUUAUGGUUAGGUCCACCUCUAAAAUCUUCUAAAAAGGCAGUUAUUUUGGUAGAGCCUAUCAUUAGGGACAUUCUAGAAAGUUCUAGGAUAGUUGAACAAAGUAUAAAUAAGACUAACUAAGGCUAUUUAGGCAUUUAGUCAAGUAUGGCUUUAGACUCUUUUUCUAAGUAAAAUUUGAUUUUCUUGUUCCAUUGUAUUUGUUUCUAAUUGAUUUUUUUUCUUCUAUUCAAUUUUCUCUUUUUACUUAUUAUUUGUUAGGCUUUGAACUAUAUAGUGCAUGUUAAGUUUUGGGCCACUUUUUACUUAUUAUUUGUUAGGCUUUGAACUAUAUAGUGCAUGUUAAGUUUUGGGCCACUUUUUACUUAUUAUUUGUUAGGCUUUGAACUAUAUAGUGCAUGUUAAGUUUUGGGCCACUUUUUACUUAUUAUUUGUUAGGCUUUGAACUAUAUAGUGCAUGUUAAGUUUUGGGCCACUUUUUACUUAUUAUUUGUUAGGCUUUGAACUAUAUAGUGCAUGUUAAGUUUUGGGCCACUUUUUACUUGUUAAAGUGUGAAACAUCUAUUGGUUGAUAAGCUUUGAAUUAGUUUAUAUUUUUUAAGGUUUAAAUUAGUUUCUAUUUAUUAAUCUUUGAACUAACUACUCUUUCUUAUGUUUUAAGCACAUACACGAAGGCGCAUACACGGAGGUGGAAGGGAAGAGAGAAAGUAAGAGAGAAAGUGUUGGGGGAGAGGUGUUUGAUGGAAUUAACUCCGCUGGUGGUGGUAACGAAAAUGAGGAUGACAUGGUGAUGGAUGCAUGCAGGUGGUGGAGGAAAUAAGACAAAGAGAAAAAGGAUCAGGGAAUUUUUGGAUAGGUGAGAAUCCGGUGCAUUCCCGGGCAGUUGAACCCGACGUGAAUCGAACACGCAACCUUCUGAUCUGGAGUCAGACGCGCUACCAUUGCGCCACGGAUCCCCUGAUGGAGAUCUCCGAAAAUUUUAAAAAUAUAGAUCCAAAACACUACUCUCUGGAAUCUCGCGACACGCGAAUGACAUCGGAAUCUCGUCGGAAUGGGUCGAUGGUCCCCAUCGCUGACUAGAUGCUGCUCAUCGUCCAGCUUCCCAUCGCCUUGGCCUCUUCGUCGCACCCGGUGAUCGAUCACUUUUCAGUCCCUGUGCUUCUGCUUCUGCCCCUGCACCUUGUGGUGUGCGUACAUUGUGCACUCGUUGGAUGUCUCUCGCUAUUCGCGUUUAUGUCGCUGCUCUGCAUGCGCUCUGGUACGCAUCACAUCACUCGCUUUCGUCAAUCCGAUCAUGGUCUGAGUUGGGAACAGAGAUUUAGACGUUUAAGAAGUAUUACUAAAUGAAAUGAGUUUUGAAGUGGCUCUUGAAGACUGUUUCGGCGCAUGGCUGUCACACAUUGAAGAUUAUUGAGUGUCUGGCACUCUGUCUUUCAGAUUCCAUUGUCAGGUCGCUAAUGUCUUGUCACAUUUUGUGAUGAAGAUGUCAAGAUUAUCGAGGUUAUAUAUGUAUGAUGUUAAUCACAAGAUUACAGAGGCCACAUUUCAAGGAAGUUGUAAUUAUUACACACUAUGUUCCACAAAAGUUGUAAUUAUUACACACUAUGUUCCACAAAAGUUGUAAUUAUUACACACUAUGUUCCACAAAAGUUGUAAUUAUUACACACUAUGUGCGAUCCGAUAUGCUCAGACUGUGAGUAUGGUUUGUUAGAUUUUUCUUACCAAGGUGGGGGAGAUUCGCUACGUAUGCAGGGAGUGCACUUGGUGAUAUGAGGAUUUCCUCUACGUCGAUUGGCAGCUGACGAGUAACGGUGAAUGUUCAACUGAGCCCGCUUUUAUGUCUUUCUUGACAAGGUUGUAAAUAGAUGUAGUGCGAGGUGAAAGUACUAAGCCUGGUAUGAGAGCGAUUUCAGUUGAUUGUUCAAUGUUGCUGUCACACUAUUCUGCGGAGUCCAUUGUCAGGAACCAGCUAUUUGGCUGUAUAUAUAGAGCUUUCGGAUGAUCUUUAAUUGCAAUCUUCUAUAACAAUGGCUUACUUCAGAUGCCUACGAGCCCUCUUCGUGCUCCUUAUUGCGGUUUUGCUCGUUUGUCAUUGCUUUGCGCAGCCUAUACUUGCGAGAAACGUUGAUGUCAACAAAUGUUUGGUGAGAUCUACUCUUCAACUGCAGCCAUUGCCAUGUCUUUCGACAUACUUUCUGUUGCAUAGAAUGAGCUGUGAACGUGUACGGUUUAAUAACUGAAGUGAAUGUUAGCACGGUAGAAUACACUACUGUUAGAAGUUCUCUCGGAACGUCUCAUCUUCCUGAGUUUGAACAAUUGAAUAUUUUGUGGAUAAGCAGCUUGCAAAUGUCAAACUGCUAUUAAGAUCUUGAUUGAAGCCACUAGUUCGAAUCUGCAGAUGACCUCGGAAAAUGCUAAGAAGACUCAGGCAUGAUUAGGUGAUGGAUUCAAGUUUGGUCAUGGACGUGGCAACUGGCGCGGGCGUGGUCGCGGGCUUGCAGGUGGCGGAGGUGGUGGUGGCGGAGGUGGUGGUGGUGGUGGAAGCAAUGGCGGCGGCGGCGGUGGUGGUGGAGGAGGGGGCGGAGGCUAAGAAACGCAGAAUGUUCUCAUGCAGUUCUCCAGUAAAGGCCAUUCUCUCAUAGCGAAUUGUAUCAUUUUUAGCUCGUACUCGUACGCGUUCACCUCGGUGGUGAACUUCAUGAUCUAGAAUGUUCAUUUUAAUUGAUAAGGACGAAUCCGUCUACCGGUUACUCUUGCUAA
rnacentral:lncRNA from 1 species